UAAUAGCGUAUAUUAAAAUUGUUGCAGUUAAAAAGUUCGUAGUUGGAUUUAGAGAGGGAUUUUAAAAUCUAAUUAUAGAAUUUUAAGAUUCAUCUUGAAUUUCCAGAAAAGGAAAGAGAUUACCUUGAAGAAAAUAGAGUGUUUAAAGCAAGUAAAGAGCAAUUGAAUAUAGUAGCAUGGAAUAAUGAAAAAGGACUUUUAUUUGGAGGUUCCAAGAGUAAAAGUAAUGAUUGAUAGGGACAGUCGGGGAUGUUUGUAUUGCAAUGUUAGAGGUAAAAUUCAGUGAUCAAUGCAAGACAGACUAAAGCGAAAGCAUUCAUCAAGGAUGUUUNCAUUAA
rnacentral:rRNA from 1 species